rnacentral:rRNA from 1 species
GACGAACGCUGGCGGCGUGCUUAACACAUGCAAGUCGAACGGAAAGGCCCUGCUUGCAGGGUACUCGAGUGGCGAACGGGUGAGUAACACGUGGGUGAUCUGCCCUGCACUUCGGGAUAAGCCUGGGAAACUGGGUCUAAUACCGUAUAGGAGCCAUUUUUAGUGUGAUGGUUGGAAAGUUUUUUCGGUGUAGGAUGAGCUCGCGGCCUAUCAGCUUGUUGGUGGGGUAAUGGCCUACCAAGGCGGCGACGGGUAGCCGGCCUGAGAGGGUGGACGGCCACAUUGGGACUGAGAUACGGCCCAGACUCCUACGGGAGGCAGCAGUGGGGAAUAUUGCACAAUGGGCGCAAGCCUGAUGCAGCGACGCCGCGUGGGGGAUGACGGCCUUCGGGUUGUAAACUCCUUUCGCUAGGGACGAAGCUUUUUGUGACGGUACCUAGAUAAGAAGCACCGGCUAACUACGUG